GACGAACGCUGGCGGCGCGCUUAACACAUGCAAGUCGAGCGAAGCGGCUGACUGGUGAGUAACACGUGAGUAACCUGCCUUAGAUAUUGGGAUAGCCUCGGGAAACCGGGAUUAAUACCAAAUGGUCUAAGAUGGACUCGGGGUCCAUUAGUUAGUUGGUGAGGGAACGGCCCACCAAGGCGACGAUGGGUAGCCGGCCUGAGGGGGUGAACGGCCAGAUUGGAACUGAGAACCGGUCCGAAGUCUACGGGAGGCAGCAGUGGGGAAUAUUGCACAAUGGAGGGAACUCUGAUGCAGCGACGCCGCGUGAACGAAAAAGGCUUUCGAGUCGUAAAGUUCUUUUAUAUGGGAAGCGGUACCAUAAGAAAAAGCCCCGGCUAACUACGUGCCAGCAGCCGCGGUAAUAC
rnacentral:rRNA from 1 species